GAGCCCCUGGCACCCGGGGCGGCCAAAAGAGGCCUCAGUUUCCCUCCAAUGACAGGUGGGCUGUCAUUAAGCAGGAGACAAAACAAAUUUCAGACGUCCCCGCCCCUGGGCCUAAACAGGCCCGGCCCCAACUUUCCAAAGAAUACACAUCCUGCCACUCCCGCAAGCCGGCACCAGCCCUCUGUGGACACAGGCACUGGCCCUGGAUUGGCAGCCCUCCACUGAGCCCACAGUGACAGGGCCAGAAGCCCUGGCCCCCCAAGUCAACCCAGCAGACCCUGCUCCAGGUUCGGGUACCUCGCUCCCAGGCUUCACCGCCACCGCGCCCGCCGAUUGGCUGCAAAAAGCAGGUCUUCCGGGGGCGGGGACUAAGAGCCAACCAAUGACUUCAGAGGAGGGCGGGCCCUGGCAGAGCCGGGAGGUGCUGAGAGGUCAGAAUGAGGGCGGGCCCUGAUGGGCGGGGCUCCAGCGUGGACCCUGGACUUGUGCUCCUAUGUCAUUUAUCCCAGCUGUUCCCGGUUUCCCCUUCUGAGCCAGGUAUCUUGGCCUCCUCGGUGGCCACAGCUUUCUGCUAAGCCUCGGUCUUCUUCCCGGCAGGAGAGACCUUUGACCCAUGUGCGUCCUGAUCCGUGGCCAGGAGCGUACCCAGUACGGCGGUGCGCCACUCGAGAGGCCUGACCCAGUCUCAAAGAACUUUGUGGAAAGAACAGCCAUGGUCUAAGCUGUAAUACUGGUCAAAGCUUGUUUCAUGGUACUCAAAGAAGAUGAACUUAAGGAUUUAAAUACUUCUCAGUAAGCUUGAGUUAAAAGGGGUGUGAAGUCCUCAAAUAAUUAAACAUAGACUUGGAUGAUUCAGCCCACUUCUAGGCACAUAACAGAGAGGAUGGAAAGCAGGUCUGUAUGCCAAAUGCGCAUGACACAGUUCUCACGGGCACUAAAAGGUUGGGCCCAGCCCAGAAGGCACCGAUCAACAGGUGCAUGGAUACAGCAAAUGUGACAGC
rnacentral:lncRNA from 1 species